GAGGACUGUGAAGCAAUCGGGGCGAGGCCGGGUGUCUGUUCAACUCUCCCGCGUAUCGUCUGUUUCUUCGGCGGCGGACAGUGUUCUGUAAUGUGUCUCCCGUUGCCCGAGCUAAAGGUUUUCCUCGACGGAGUCUUUAGAAUACCGUGGUAGAGGCAGUCUCCACACCACUGUGCUCGAACAGCUCUAUGAAGAGGCCUAUGUGGAGAGGAGAAAAAGCCUCCACCAACAGCCAGCACCAACUUGCCAGCCAUAUAUGAACUCUCGCUAUGUUGCCUCGGCUGGUCUCAAACUCCUGGGCUCAAGUGAUCCUCCCACUUCGGCCUCCCAAAAUGGCGUCUUGCUCUGUCACCCAGGCUGGGGUGCAGUGGUGUGAUCUCAGCUCACUGCAACCUCUGCCUCCUGGGUUCAAGCAAUUCUUCUGCCUCAGCCUCCCAAAGAGCUGUGAUUACAGACGUGUGCCACAAUACCCGGCUAAGUUUUGUAUUUUUAUUAUUAUUUUAUUUAUGUGUUUAUUUAUUUAUUUAUUUAUUUAUUUUGAGAUGGAGUCUUGCUGUGUCGCCCAGGGUGGAGUGCAGUGGUGCGAUCUCUGCUCGCUGCAGCCUCUGCCCCCCAGGCGAUUCUCCUGCCUCAGCCUCCCGAGUAGCUGGGAUUACAGGUGCCCGCCACCAUACCCGGCUAAUUUUUGUAUUUUUAGUAAAGACAGGGUUUUGCCAUGUUGGCCAGGCUGAUCUCGAACUCCUGACCUCAAGUGAUCUGUCUGCCUUGGCCUCCCAAGGCAGGGAGCCUGCUGGGAUUACAGGCAUGAGCCACCACGCCCAGUCAAAAUGUUUUAAAUGUUUCUAUACCACCAUCUGUGUCAAAGAGCAAAUGGUCUCUCUGCAGCUGGAACAACAAAAACUCAAAUGGUCCACACAGUGGUUCAUACCUAUAAGUCACCAAACCUAAACUAAGUUGUUAUCUGACCUUCUGGAAAUGAGAAGAGAUAGAUAACUGCCAGUUUCCCAAACAGGCCAGUUUAAAUCUUCCUGUAAGCAUGAUAAGGAAGUUCCCUCUGAUUUAAUCCUUACACACGAAAAAGUAGCCUUAAAUAACCUGAUAUUAACUCAUCAGUUUUAUUUUUAUUUAUUUAUUUUUUUUUGAGACAAUGUCUUGCUCUGUCACCCAGGCUGGAGUGCAGUGGCACAAUCUCGGCUCACUGCAAUCUCCGCCUCCCGGGUUCACGCCAUUCUCCUGCCUCAGCCUCCCGAGUAGCUGGGACUACAGGUGCCUGCCACCACACCCGGCUAAUUUUUGUAUUCUUAGUAGAGAUGGGGUUUCACCGUGUUAGCCAGGAUGGUCUCGAUCUCCUGACCUUGUGAUCCACCCCCCUCGGCCUCCCAAAGUGCUGGGAUUACAGGUGUGAGCCACCGCGCCUGGCCACUCAUCAGUUAUUUUUCUAUCAUUUUGUCUUUCUGUCCCCACUUUACAAGAAAAGUGACUUUGAAAGGACUAAUAACAUUAUUCGUUUUUUGCUUCUGCUUUCUUCAGCCCUUCUCUGUCUGUAAAGCCAGCUUCUUUUGCACAGCUCACUGCAACACUUAUUUUUAUUUGUAUUUUUAUUUUUUGAGACAAUGUCUCACUCUGUCACCCGGGCUGGAGAGUGGAGAGUACUAAUGCAGUCUUGGCCCACUGCACCUUCACCCUCCUCAACUCAAGCAAUCUUCCUGCCUCAACUUCCCUGGCAGCCAGGACUACAGGCUUGCACCACUAUACCCAGCUAAUUUUUAAAAUUUUUUUUUUUGUAGAGACAGGGUCUUGCUAUGUGGGCCAGACUGGUCUCAAACUCCUGGCCUCAAGGGAUCCUUCUUCCUUGGCCUGCCAAAGUGCUGGGAUAGAAUAAGUGUGCCGGGGCCACCAUGCCCAGGCCACCACACCUGGCCCACUUAUUCUAUUUUAUGGAAUGAAGUGUUACCCAAUUCUGGCUUUUUUUGAGACAGGGUCGUGCACCGUUGCUCAGGCGGGAAUGCAGUGGCACGAUCUUGGAACACUCCAACCUCCACCUCCAAGGCUCAAGCCAUCUUCCCACCUCAGCCUCCCGAGUAGCUGGGGCCACAGGCGUGUGCCACCACAUCCAGCUAAUUUUUGUAUUUUUUGUAGAGAUGGGGUUUUGCCAUGUUGCCCAGGCUGGUUUGGUCUCAAACUCCUGGUCUCAAGCCAUCCACCCACCUUGGUCUCCCAAAGUGCUGGGAUUACAGAUGUGAACCAACAUGUCCAGCCUUUUUUUUUUUUUGAGACAAAUUCUGGCUCUGUCACCCAGACUGGAGUGCAGUGGUGCCAUCUUGGCUCACUGCAACCUCCACCUCCGAGGCUCAAGCAAUUCUCUCACCCCAGCCUCCUGAGUAGCUAGGACCACAGGUGCUCACCACCACGCCUGGUUAACUUUUGUGUUUUUUGUAGAGAUGGGGUUUUGCCAUGUUUCCUAUGCUGGUCUGGAACUCAUGAACUCAACAGAUUGUCCCACCUCAGCCUCUCAAAGUGCUGGGAUUACAGAACUGUCAUGUUUCUCUGGAAAAGAACCACGCUCUCAGAGAAGCAGACAUAUUCCUUAAGAGAUUUACCAGAUGUGAGAAUUUAGUUGUAGCCCUGUAUUUCCCAGCUUCCUGUGGGUUUGUAUAAGCAUUCCCUGAAAUGGAUUCUCACUUGUUGACUAUCAUGAAAAUGUGAGAAGAGCUCAAAGCACCUGUCAUAAAAAUAUUAACUUGUAAUAAAAGUGUUUAGUAACACUAAUAUGUGAUGGCAAUUUCAGGAAAGUCAAUGUUCUGAGCAAGAAGAACAAGGAACAGAAGGUAUAAUGAUAACAGAUGAGAGAGGAAAAAGCAGACUCAAUCAACUCCUACUUUUCCAUCAUUUUUCCGUUACAGAGAAUUAUCCUCAAAUUAGAAGGAGUAGGACCUACAUGGUAAAGAAAAAAUUUACGUGCAAGGCAGAUGAGGAAGUAAGAGAGCAUCCAGCCCCUUCACACAACUUCAUUCUCUGUCUUACCGAAAGAAUGUGAAAUGUGGUGGUAGCUUUACUGGGGACAGGAGAGGUGCCAGAAGUUUGAAGAUGGACUAAUCUCCUUGUUUUCUAAAAGAAGAACCUAUAAGUCUCUGAGCACAUUUUUCUUUGGCAAAAUUCUGGAAUGGAUAAUUAGACAAAUGGUUUGUGAAUCUUUAGAAAAGUGGCAAAAACAAGGCACAGCAUAAAUUCACUAAAAAAUAAGUGGACCUAAA